AACGAACGCUGGCGGCAUGCCUAACACAUGCAAGUCGAACGAGAUCUUCGGAUCUAGUGGCGCACGGGUGCGUAACGCGUGGGAAUCUGCCCUUGGGUACGGAAUAACUCAGAGAAAUUUGUGCUAAUACCGUAUAAUGUCUUCGGACCAAGGAUUUAUCGCCCAAGGAUGAGCCCGCGUAGGAUUAGCUAGUUGGUGAGGUAAAAGCUCACCAAGGCGACGAUCCUUAGCUGGCUGAGAGGAUGAUCAGCCACACUGGGACUGAGACACGGCCCAGACUCCUACGGGAGGCAGCAGUGGGGAAUAUUGGACAAUGGGCGAAAGCCUGAUCCAGCAAUGCCGCGUGAGUGAUGAAGGCCCUAGGGUUGUAAAGCUCUUUUACCCGGGAUGAUAAUGACAGUACCGGGAGAAUAAGCUCCGGCUAACUUCGUGCCAGCAGCCGCGGUAAGGUGACGCUCU
rnacentral:rRNA from 1 species